AUGAGAGCGGCGCACGGGUGCGUAACGCGUAUGCAACCUACCUUUUACAGGGGGAUAGCCCGGAGAAAUCUGGAUUAAUACCCCAUGGCACUAUUGAUUGGCAUCAAGAGAUAGUUAAAGAUUUAUCGGUAAGAGAUGGGCAUGCGUCUGAUUAGCUAGUUGGCGGUGUAACGGACCACCAAGGCGACGAUCAGUAGGGGUUCUGAGAGGAAGGUCCCCCACACUGGCACUGAGAUACGGGCCAGACUCCUACGGGAAGCAGCAGUAGGGAAUAUUGGGCAAUGGUCGGAAGACUGACCCAGCCAUGCCGCGUGCAGGAAGACGGCCUAUUGGGUUGUAAACUGCUUUUAUCUGGGAAGAAAAAGUCCAUGCGUGGAAAAUUGCCGGUACCAGAUGAAUAAGCACCGGCUAACUCCGUGCCAGCAGCCGCGGUAAUACGGAGGGUGCAAGCGUUGUCCGGAUUUAUUGGGUUUAA
rnacentral:rRNA from 1 species